rnacentral:rRNA from 2 species
GUCUAUACAUGCAGUCGAGCGGACAGAUGGGAGCUUGCUCCCUGAUGUUAGCGGCGGACGGGUGAGUAACACGUGGGUAACCUGCCUGUAAGACUGGGAUAACUCCGGGAAACCGGGGCUAAUACCGGAUGCUUGAUUGAACCGCAUGGUUCAAUUAUAAAAGGUGGCUUUUAGCUACCACUUACAGAUGGACCCGCGGCGCAUUAGCUAGUUGGUGAGGUAACGGCUCACCAAGGCAACGAUGCGUAGCCGACCUGAGAGGGUGAUCGGCCACACUGGGACUGAGACACGGCCCAGACUCCUACGGGAGGCAGCAGUAGGGAAUCUUCCGCAAUGGACGAAAGUCUGACGGAGCAACGCCGCGUGAGUGAUGAAGGUUUUCGGAUCGUAAAACUCUGUUGUUAGGGAAGAACAAGUACCGUUCGAAUAGGGCGGUACCUUGACGGUACCUAACCAGAAAGCCACGGCUAACUACGUGCCAGCAGCCGCGGUAAUACGUAGGUGGCAAGCGUUGUCCGGAAUUAUUGGGCGUAAAGCGCGCGCAGGCGGUUUCUUAAGUCUGAUGUGAAAGCCCCCGGCUCAACCGGGGAGGGUCAUUGGAAACUGGGGAACUUGAGUGCAGAAGAGGAGAGUGGAAUUCCACGUGUAGCGGUGAAAUGCGUAGAGAUGUGGAGGAACACCAGUGGCGAAGGCGACUCUCUGGUCUGUAACUGACGCUGAGGCGCGAAAAGCGUGGGGAGCGAACAGGAUUAGAUACCCUGGUAGUCCACGCCGUAAACGAUGAGUGCUAAGUGUUAAGAGGGUUUCCGCCCUU